rnacentral:rRNA from 1 species
AUUGAACGCUGGCGGCAGGCCUAACACAUGCAAGUCGAACGAGCGGCGGACGGGUGAGUAAUAUAUGGGGACUGCCCGGUAGAGGGGGAUAACUACUUGAAACAGUGGCUAAUACCGCAUACUAUCGGAUGACCCAUAUCGGAUUAGCUAGUUGGUGGGGUAAAGGCUCACCUAGGCGACGAUCUCUAGCUGGUCUGAGAGGAUGAUCAGCGACAGUGGGACGGAGAUACCGCCCAGGGUACUACGGAGGGAGAAGUGGGGGAUAUGGCACAAUGGCCGAAAGACUGAUGCAGCGACGAUGCGUGGGGGAUGAAGGCUUUAGGGUUGUAAACGUAUUUAGCUAUCGAAAGGGUAGGUGGAGAAGAAGCGCCGGCUAACUACGUGCCAGCAGCCGCGGUAAUAC